rnacentral:lncRNA from 1 species
ACUGGAUCACGUUCCUUAACCACAACUAGAGCUAGGUCGGAGAGGGUAGUGUCGUAGUCUGGCACGUAGGUUAUUCUUUGGAUCAUGCAACAUAAUUCCACCGACGCGUUAAAGAAAAGAAAACGAAAGAUUAUUUAUGUAUAGAUUUAUGUAUUUGUGAAACUUAGCACUAUCGUACCCAGAUGUUCAUUCGUGGGGUCAAUUUCUGUCGCGUUCCAUGAAUACUACAGUUCAGUAUAUGAUAUUUACA